GCCUUGGACACUUCCAGGGAUGGGGCACCCUCAGCUGCUCCGGGCACCCUGUGCCAGAGCCUCUCCACCCUCACAGUGAAGAAUUCCUUCCCAGUAUCCCAUCUAACACUGCCAUCUGGCAGUGGAAAGCCAUUGCCCCAUGUCCUGCCACUCCAUACCCUUGUAAAUAAUCUCUGUCUUUCUUGACAGCUCCUUCAGGUUCUGGAAGGCCACCAUUAGGUGACCUCCAAGUCUCUUUUCCAGGCUGAACAAUCCCAACCCUCUCAGCUCUUUGCCUUUUCUCCAAGGUCUCUGGGAACCUGAAAGUCAAGAGCAGCUGGCACCGAGGGCCACGUUCUUCCAACAAUCCGCCUUGUCUUUCCAAAGUGAGGAUAUAAAUAGCGCGUCCUGCAACGACGCCAUUACCCGGAGCUGCGCCGCGGCCGCUCGCAGCAGACCCGUUACCCACAGCAGCCAAUUUAUUCCCAGCUCCGGCAGGGUCAGCAACCGUCAGGGAAACCAAUGCUAAUUAAUAGCACUGUGCAAAGCAGCCGGUCUGGGCAUGGCAUGUAAUUAGUGAGCCAACUGCACCUGCCACAGCGCUGGGGCUGUGGGGAAAGCGGCGACGGAGCAGCCACCGAGGAGGGACCCACGGCAGCUUCUGGCUAGAAGUCGGGAUGAGGGCACCGACUGCUCUGGAGACACGUGUGCCACGCUGCCAUCAGCGAGGCUGUGGCACUCUGUGUGUGCUCCCAUCCCUCUGGCCUCUGCACCACCCUUCCUGCUGCAGCCCCCAUCCCUGCUGUCUCCUCAACAGGUUUCCACUGAAAGGAGGUUUCCUGACCCCAAACCAAAUCAUCCCAUGGACUUCUGCAGGAGCAUGAAAAAGGGGAGGGAAGAUCCAGGGUCUGAGUCCAGAGCAAGAAGCUCUGAAGCUGUGCUCUGUGAUUUGGCACAGUUAGAGAGCAGCAGGAUUGCAGCUGACCUGAAUUCCCAAGAUCAAAGUCAACUCCGCUUCUUCCCCAGCAUCUCCAGAGCCCUCCAAGGAGCUGAAUCAAUGAGCUGAACAGCCCUGUGUCCAUCUCAUCUGCUACUGGCAUCCAGGGCUGCGGGUGAUGGCAGGACCAUCUCCCCUGCACUGAGGCUCAGAGCUAAAAAGCUGCACAAAAUGUAACAUUUAUAUGCUGAGAAAGAAGCCUGCCUCCUCCAUGAUCAGGGC
rnacentral:lncRNA from 1 species